AAAAAAACAAACCCUGGGUUUACAUGUCCAAUGUUUGACUGUCCGUCUUAUAUGAAAUUUUUUUAUAAUUAGUAUUUUUAUUGUUGUUAGAUGAUAACAUGAUUAAUACUUUAUGCGUGACUUGUCUUUUUAAACUUUUUCAUAUUUUUUUCAAGUAAGAUGAACGGUCAAACGUUGGACAUGAAAACCCAGGGUUUGUCUUUUC
rfam:Oryza barthii chromosome 1, whole genome shotgun sequence.